rnacentral:sRNA from 1 species
GAGUUUUACCGAUCUGUGUUCCGCGGCCCGGCCGCGGCUGAGUCUUCCCAGGGUCAGGGUCGGGCGCUUUGCUGAGUCCCUUUGUGGCCGCCAUGGACAAUUCCGGGAAGGAAGCGGAGGCGAUGGCGCUGUUGGCCGAGGCGGAGCGCAAAGUGAAGAACUCGCAGUCCUUCUUCUCUGGCCUCUUUGGAGGCUCAUCCAAAAUAGAGGAAGCAUGCGAAAUCUACGCCAGAGCAGCAAACAUGUUCAAAAUGGCCAAAAACUGGAGUGCUGCUGGAAACGCGUUCUGCCAGGCUGCACAGCUGCACCUGCAGCUCCAGAGCAAGCACGACGCAGCCACCUGCUUUGUGGACGCUGGCAACGCAUUCAAGAAAGCCGACCCCCAAGAGGCCAUUAACUGUUUGAUGCGAGCAAUCGAGAUCUACACAGACAUGGGCCGAUUCACGAUUGCGGCCAAGCACCACAUCUCCAUUGCUGAGAUCUAUGAGACGGAGUUGGUGGACAUCGAGAAGGUGAGUGGCAGCAGGGCCCUGCAUGGGCUGGCAGCCAGGACCAGUGCUGCUCUCUCUUCUUCCCACCAGGGGAGUCCUCUGGUGUCUGAGUGCCGAGAAGGGGGCAUGGGGUGCCGGCAGAGCUUGGAGAAUGGGGUCUGGCUGUGUCCCAGGCAGGCAGGGCGGAGGGUGUGGAAGCUUCACGGAGGCCUCCUCUCCCUUCCCUGCCCUCCCCUGGAACCCAUCCCCCGUGUCUCCCCAGGCCAUUGCCCACUACGAGCAGUCCGCAGACUACUACAAAGGCGAGGAGUCCAACAGGUAGCCCCCUUCCUGCCUGCCCCAGCCCCGCAGGGACCGCCACCACUU